GGGUCCGUGGUCUAGGGUUAUGACGUCGCUCUUACAAAGCGAAGAUCGCAGGUUCAAUUCCUGCCGGACCCC
rnacentral:tRNA from 1 species